UCUAGAACUCCUGUCCUCAGGUGAUCCGCCAGCCUCAGCCUCCCUAAGUGCUGUGAUUAUAGGCGUUGAGUCACCAUGCCCAGCUGCAUCCUGUUUCUUUCAGGAACAUCACCUAUGAUGGUUUUACAGCAUAGCUAUUAACUUCCUGCUAAUGCUUCUGAUGUAUACAUAAACAUAACAAACCCUGCUGGUGUCAUCAUUUCAUUUCACAAAUUAAGACUGUGACUGUGAUAUGGUUUGGAUAUCUGUCCUCUCCAAAUCUCACCUUGAAAUGUGAUUCCCAGUGUUGGAGGUGGGGCCUUUUAUGGGGGCUGAUUGGCUUACGGUGCAGAUCCCUUGUGAAUGGUUUAGUACUAUCCCCCUGGUGAUAAGUGAGUUCUUACUCAGUUAAUGCAAGAUCUGGUUUUUCAAAGAGCGUAGCACCUCCCUCUCUCUGUCUCUUGCCCCUGCUCAGUCCAUGUGACAUGCUGCUUUCCACCAUGAGUGGAAGCUUCCUGAGGCCUCACCAGAAGCAGAUGCCAGCACCACACUUCCUGUACAGCCUGCAGAACCAUAAGCCAAUGAAACCUCUUUUCUUUAUAAAUUAUCCAGCCUCAUAUAUUCCUUUACAGCGACAUAAGAUUGGACUAACACAGGCUUAGAACAGUUAGUUAGAUAAUGUGCCCAAGACCAAACAGCUAUGGAGCCAGCUCUGGAUGUCAAGUCAGUGCGAGCAGUUGUUGCUCAUCACACUGUUGUUUCCUGGAGAACUUCACUCUAUCAAAGGAUAGAGGGAUCGCUGCAUUAACCCCAUCAUCACCAAAAGAACUUGGGGUCCACAGAGGCAAAGUAACAAGAGAGAGUAAUCAUUACCUACAAAGCUGGGAAACUUCCCACACUACCCUUCUCCAUGCACCAUCACCAAAGGAGACUUUACUUCUCCAACUAAAUUAUAAGCUCCUUAAGGACUGGGACUCCACUGUCUUAACAGUGUGGCACUCUCUAAGAACUAGCAGAGCAUGGCAUGCAAAGAUACCCGCCAGCAACCGUGAUUAUUUGUGUUCUAAGAAAAAGAGCCCCAUCCAUCUUACUUGCGAUAAUUCCAGCAAGUGUCCACCCCAGAAGCUCUGUCAGUCACAUGCACUUCCUUUAAGAUGGUCUGUGUCUGGGUGUCUGGCUCAGGAUACCUAGUUAGAACUAGUUAGAUCACUGCACAAGGAAACUUCAUGAACAUUACUUUUUUAUGUCUAAAACAAUGAAACCUUGAACUGUCAGGAGGGUGAAAUAAAGCCAGCAGGUCAUUUAUUGGUGAGGAAUUGGGGCAUAGAGCUCCAGGGAGCCCACAGUCAUCCUGGGGCAGGUGCCAGCCACCCAGUGGAGUUAUUAAUAUAUGAACUUUGCCUCUGCUCACCCACGCUGCCUGCUGAUUUUUAUACUAUGUUGCAUAAUUAAUCUGUCAACAUUCUGUGACAGAGUAUAAAUAUUAAUAAUAUGAUCACACAGCUAGCUGUUCCCUUUAAAAUUCAGCGCCGAAAAGAUAAAUCGGCCACUUAAUCUUGCUAGAUUCCAAAAAGGGGAGGAAAGAGUGGGGCAGGAGGUGGAGACAGGAAGGAGAGGGAGAGGGAGAGGUUGGGAGCUAAUUGGGAAUGGCGGAAUCCUUGUUUGAAUCUGCUAGCUUAGUUCUUUCAUUCCCACAUAAUGAGAUACACCUUUUCUCUCUCUUUUUCUUUUUACUCAAGGGACAAAAAGCUCUCGUCUUUCCAUCUGGCAUUCCUCAUCUCUGGAUCGGCAUGAGCAGCAGUAAAUUCCAGGAGAGACCUGAGCCAACCAUCCCCUUUGUUUCCUGAAAGAAGAGAGGUUUAUGUUCUCCUGGAAGGCUGACCAGCAGUAACUUAGGAAAGCCGCAGGCCAGCAGCACACUGAAAUGCAGAUGUGAUUAGAUAAACCAGGGAGAGAAGGCAUGUUGUGUCAUUACAGCUUUACAUAAAGUGUCCUUUUCCAUUAAGCUUGCCAAGUGUUCUCGGUUGGUAUCAAUCAAACAGCUCCUAAAAACUUACAAUUUCCUAAAACUCUACCAAAUUGGCCUUUCAGCAGUCACUGCACUGGCCCCAGGCCACCCACACUGCUGCGUACUAGCAAGCCGCCCUCCACCUUCUACUUUCCACCUCCAUUUGUU